AAGCUGCGGUCGGCACCGAAGCAAGAAACCGUAGCACGUCUUCGGUGGGGCAGAAACCCGCGGGAAGCCGCCAGCCGGCCCAAGGUUGGUUCCGCUGUUCGCACCAUUAAUCGAGGCGAACGCUGUUCAUCCGCCGCCUCUUGCCCGCACCGCCGCCGCUGACAAGCUCCGAUGCGGCGCUGGGCAACCGUAAAGACAUGUCCAGAGGAUGCACCGCUGCUCAGGCACGUCGCCCCGACGAACCGCUGGCUGAGUCGUUCCACGGCUCCGCACACGUGGCUUCGCCUGGAAGGGGCCCGACGCGCUUCUUGUCCAUGGGCUCACGCGGCAGUCUCGCUCCUCGCAGCCGCUCAGGCGCCGGGUCCCUCUUGCGUGUGCGUGAGCUUGCGCCCUGCGUCCUCCGUCGUACAUGCUCGUAAGGCGUCGCGGGAUGACGCGCGUUCUGUGGAAUAAUCCGGACAGCGACCUGCCGAAGAGGAUAUCUCUCCCGGCUAGCCGGCUGCCAGUUGUUACGGUUUCUACAUGGAGGUCCUGAAGGGUCUGAAAGAUCGUGCGUGCUGCGUGCGACCAAAUUUGUCAAAAGAGGGGCGCUGGAUUCUUCACCACGAUAAUGGCCGUGCGCACUAUUCAUUGAUAGUACAGGAAUCCUCGACAGAUAUGCAGGCAGCAAACAUCAUCAUACAGAAAACGGAACUGCAACACCACUUUCUUCUUCACAAGUAGCCGCAAUAAAAUGUCGUUCGAGAAA
rnacentral:lncRNA from 1 species